rnacentral:rRNA from 1 species
CCUACGGGCGGCAGCAGUGAGGAAUAUUGGUCAAUGGGCGAGAGCCUGAACCAGCCAAGUCGCGUGAGGGAGUACUGCCCUAUGGGUUGUAAACCUCUUUUGUCGGGGAGCAAAAGCCGGACGUGUCCGGCUGUGAGAGUACCCGAAGAAAAAGCAUCGGCUAACUCCGUGCCAGCAGCCGCGGUAAUACGGAGGAUGCGAGCGUUAGCCGGAUUUAUUGGGUUUAAAGGGUGCGCAGGCGGAUUUUUAAGUCAGCGGUAAAAUCGUGGGGCUCAACCCCAUCCAGCCGUUGAAACUGGGGAUCUAGAGUGUGCGAGAGGUAUGCGGAAUGCGUGGUGUAGCGGUGAAAUGCAUAGAUAUCACGCAGAACCCCGAUUGCGAAGGCAGCAUACCGGUGCACAACUGACGCUCAGGCACGAAAGCGUGGGUAUCGAACAGGAUUAGAUACCUCAGUAGUC